GUCCAGUCAAAGUCAGCAGACAUGAAGGAAGCAGCUGCUCAGCGUCUGAUCUUUCUGAUCUCACUGCUGUUCUGGACAUCAGGUCAAGUCCUCCCAGUUCGUCUGACUUUGAGUCCCAGCAGAUCUCAGUUCUUUCAAUAUGAACCUGUGUCUCUGAC